CGUAGGGGGCAAGCGUUGUCCGGAUUUAUUGGGCGUAAAGAGCGUGUAGGCGGCUUGGUAGGUCCGCUGUGAAAACUCGAGGCUCAACCUCGAGAUGUCGGCGGAAACCACUUGGCUAGAGUCCGGAAGAGGAGAGUGGAAUUCCUGGUGUAGCGGUGAAAUGCGCAGAUAUCAGGAAGAACACCUAUGGCGAAGGCAGCUCUCUGGGGCGGUACUGACGCUGAGACGCGAAAGCGUGGGGAGCGAACAGG
rnacentral:rRNA from 1 species